rnacentral:sRNA from 1 species
UGAGACUAGCGUUUUUAAUCUUCCGUUUGUUUCCGUAUGAGACUUUGUUUUCUGUGGUUGCAUCGCUUCGUCGUCUCUCUUUUUUUUUUCAAAUUAUUAAGCAUGUUGCUUUGUUGUUCACAAAUUAGCCGUCAAAGUUGUUUGCUUGAAAACAAAUUAAGGGUUAGAAGUUUCUACCGGUUUUUAAUUCGGUCGGAACUUCUUCUGGGCUGAUCUAAUCUAACGUUUCCCGUUUCAGGGAACGGUGCUUUUGGAAAUUUGGGGCUUUCGUCUCCAACCUUGGAACCCCUUCGUGUUGAAGGAAACGUUGGUCUUCGAAUAUUGGGGUUUUUGUGUGCAAGCUUGCAAGGAUGCAAGCCCUUUGUGAUCAACUUCCAUGGGAUCCUGCCCUAUGUUGUUACUUCGCGGUUACCUCCAUUGGGUUAAAAAAACCACAGACGCAAUUUGCAAUUUCAAUCCUACUCCUAGAUCGACUAAUUUCUCAGACGGCCACUGACUAGAGCUUGACAUUCAGAUUCAAUGGCUAGAUUGGCAACAAAUUUAUUGGGAAAUGCAUCUUCAAAGGUAUGCCUCUGGAGCAAAGUUAAAGGUAAGAGAUUAUUUUGUUAGCUUUGAUAAAAUUAUUUGUCAGCCAUUUUAGUUUUUAGCAAUUAUGAGAUUAUUUCUUAUUGAAUAUUAGUUGGCUUAAACUUUCUUACGUCUUAACUAUCAAUGUACAAACGUAACAAUCAUUUACAUAAAAUUCACAAAUUGUAGUGUCAAUUUGAAGUUAACGUAAUGAUCUUUGAAAAUGUCAAAACUCACAUUGACAUAAACCUUUUGCAUAUUUGUAAAAUCUCUUGAGAUCACCUUCCAACUUAAAAUUAAACUUAUAUUUAGCAAAUUUUAUGUAUCAGUACUAAAAUUUUCAAUACGAAACGAAACUGCAUGACUUAUAUAUUGAAGACACUGAAGUUGGGGUAAGUCAUCAUAUCACUCUCAAAAAUUUUUAUUACUUUAGUGAUUGCAAAUUUGGUUCACACUGGAAACUAUUAAUAUUCAAUGGUUUUUUAAAUUAUCGACCCAACCAAAGUGGGUUCCUGUAUUAUGUAUUUGACAAAUAGAAUUGUAAUCUUAUGUAUAUAAUUAACUAAUAAUAUGAUUUUUUUUUAUUGUUCUGGUGGUAUUAUGUAGUUGUUGUGAUUAGAGAGCUAUUUUGCUCCUUAUUUUGUACCUUAAUGUCCAACUUUUUACAUGUUUUACACUAUUAGAACCCGCAGCAACGCGCGGGCAUUAUGACUAGUUCCAUCUAAAAUCGCCUGCAACUCGACUUGAAGAGGGGAAGCAGCAAAGAAAUGCCUUGCUAGACCUAGACCUAGACCAUCAACCAACCUCCCUCUGUGGUCUCUAAUGACAACUCCAUACCCUGCCUCCUCGGAGGCUUUAUCCCAUGCACCAUCACAAUUUACUUUGAGAAAACCAGCUGGGGUAGGAGACCAUGCCGAAUGGGGAGAAAGUGGGAUGUGGGAGAAAUCACCAAGCAAUAGUAAACACGCAGAUGAAAACAAGGAAUUGCGACAAGGGUGACCGUGAGUUUCUGAGUUACCACGCAUAUGGGCACAAGGUGUCUACGUUAUGCAGAGAAAAAAUGGAGAGCAAGACUCAUAAAACACAGCAAGAUUAAAGAUUAAGAAACAAAUGCUUGUUAUUGCGUUAUGCCAUUUCUAGCUCUCCUAACCAUCCGUCUGGUCACAUAACCACUCAACAAACAUACAUUCACAACAACACAGUAAAUCACAAUUUAUACUUGCACAAGAUUUUUCAAUUGGACCAAACAUAACCCAAACAAAUGUCUAAAAAUAAAAAAUAUAAAUUUCACAAGAACACAGUAAAUCAUAAUUCAUACAAUUUCGAAAGAUUUGGAUUGAACAUCAAAUUAACCCAUAGCCAAAGGCAUUCUCUACAGAGGUUUAUGCAGUCAAACACAAAAAAAAUCACAAAAACACAGUAAAUCUGAGAAGAUUGACUGAAAUUAUAGAGUAUUACCUUCAAUGAUUGCUUGCGAAUGUAGAGAACGAAUCCAAUUCCGAAAUCUGGUGACGGAUCCCUUGCUUCCAAUUCAAUUUGAUUCAAAUGAUCUGCAUCAAAAAAAUAUGAUUAGUGCUUUUAAUAUUCAUAUCAUGAAUUAAGCUCCACAAUUGGAUUGAAAUUCGAAGAAAAAUGACCGGAAAUUACCUCACUGCCUUCAAUUUCUUUUGUUUCUUGAUUUCGAAAAUCAAGCGGGAAGAACGAAGGAACGCGAGGAAUGUUCUGCAUCAAUAAAUCAUAGUUAGGGCUUCGACAUUCAUACUAUAAAUUGAGCUACACAAUUGGAUUGAAAUUCAAAGAGAAAUGGCUAGAAAUUACCUCGUUGCCUUCGAUUUCUUUCGUUUCUUGAGAUAAAGGCCCUGUGACCCGAUCUAUAAAAGACAGACGAGUUCAAUUUUCGUCGCAUUCCUCGUGUUCCUUCGUUCUUUCCGCUCGAUUUUCAAAAUCAAGAAACGAAAGAAAUCGGAGGCGUCGAGAUCAUUCCUCGCGUUCCUUCGUUCUUCCCGCUCCAUUUUCUAAAUCAAGAAACGAAAGAAAUCAGAGGCGGCGAGGUAAUUUCCGGCCAUUUCUCUUUGAAUUUCAAUCCAAUUGUGUAGCUCAAUUUAUAGUAUGAAUAUCAAAGCCCUAAGUAUGAUUUAUUGAUGCAAAUCAUUUGAAUUGAAUUGGAAGCGAGGGAUCUGUAGCUAGAUUUUGGAAGUGGAAUCAGCUUCGUUCUCAACACUCGCAAGCAAUCGUCGAAGCCUCGAGACAACAGAACUCCAAAUGGAACGACUAUGAUUCUGCAACAUUGUUUCCUAUAUCACAUAGGCAUCCCAUGUACAUGCCUCCUGGCAAUAGAGUCAUCUGGUAACCUCCGUUCAAAGUAAUCAAGUUGUCCGACUUGAUUCCCUCCAAGGCACAUUAGUGGUAACGUCACCCAAAGUGGAGGUGGUGCUGAUGCCCCGACAUGAUUUAUGAAGGGGUGUGAUAUCCACACAUUCUAUAUUACUUAUCAUACACCUUCUUAAUUUUCGGCCGUCGAAUCGGAAGAAUUGAAGAAGAUCAACGGAUAUAAAUUAUCAAGGGAUAGUGAGAAGUAAAAUGAGGUGUGUGAAUAGCACACCUCUUCAUGAAUGAUGGGAAGUGAAAUGAGGAAGAAAAGACUGAAACUUAGCAAAAUAUAAACCAAAAUUAACAGGUGUACUUACGUUUAUUGAAUAAUGAGUUCUUUGAUUCUUUGCACUUUUAUCAAUCAAGCAUU